rnacentral:rRNA from 1 species
GACGAACGCUGGCGGCGUGCUUAACACAUGCAAGUCGAACGGAAAGGCCCUGCUUUUGUGGGGUGCUCGAGUGGCGAACGGGUGAGUAACACGUGAGUAACCUGCCCUUGACUGUGGGAUAAUUUUAGGAAACUGGGGCUAAUACCGGAUAGGAGCUCCUGUUGCAUGGUGGGGGUUGGAAAGUUUCGGCGGUUGGGGAUGGACUCGCGGCGGAUCAGCUUGUUGGUGGGGUAGUGGCUUACCAAGGCUUUGACGGGUAGCCGGCCUGAGAGGGUGACCGGCCACAUUGGGACUGAGAUACGUCCCAGACUCCUACGGGAGGCAGCAGUGGGGAAUAUUGCACAAUGGGCGGAAGCCUGAUGCAGCAACGCCGCGUGCGGGAUGACGGCCUUCGGGUUGUAAACCGCUUUCGCCUGUGACGAAGCGUGAGUGACGGUAAUGUGUAAAUAAGCACCGGCUAACUACGUG